GGCUCAGGAUGAACGCUAGCUACAGGCUUAACACAUGCAAGUCGAGGGGCAGCAUGGUCUUAGCUUGCUAAGGCCGAUGGCGACCGGCGCACGGGUGAGUAACACGUAUCCAACCUGCCGUCUACUCUUGGACAGCCUUCUGAAAGGAAGAUUAAUACAAGAUGGCAUCAUGAGUCCGCAUGUUCACAUGAUUAAAGGUAUUCCGGUAGACGAUGGGGAUGCGUUCCAUUAGAUAGUAGGCGGGGUAACGGCCCACCUAGUCUUCGAUGGAUAGGGGUUCUGAGAGGAAGGUCCCCCACAUUGGAACUGAGACACGGUCCAAACUCCUACGGGAGGCAGCAGUGAGGAAUAUUGGUCAAUGGGCGAGAGCCUGAACCAGCCAAGUAGCGUGAAGGAUGACUGCCCUAUGGGUUGUAAACUUCUUUUAUAAAGGAAUAAAGUCGGGUAUGUAUACCCGUUUGCAUGUACUUUAUGAAUAAGGAUCGGCUAACUCCGUGCCAGCAGCCGCGGUAAUACGGAGGAUCCGAGCGUUAUCCGGAUUUAUUGGGUUUAAAGGGAGCGUAGAUGGAUGUUUAAGUCAGUUGUGAAAGUUUGCGGCUCAACCGUAAAAUUGCAGUUGAUACUGGAUAUCUUGAGUGCAGUUGAGGCAGGCGGAAUUCGUGGUGUAGCGGUGAAAUGCUUAGAUAUCACGAAGAACUCCGAUUGCGAAGGCAGCCUGCUAAGCUGCAACUGACAUUGAGGCUCGAAAGUGUGGGUAUCAAACAGGAUUAGAUACCCUGGUAGUCCACACGGUAAACGAUGAAUACUCGCUGUUUGCGAUAUACGGCAAGCGGCCAAGCGAAAGCGUUAAGUAUUCCACCUGGGGAGUACGCCGGCAACGGUGAAACUCAAAGGAAUUGACGGGGGCCCGCACAAGCGGAGGAACAUGUGGUUUAA
rnacentral:rRNA from 1 species